GAUAAAUUAGCUUUAAAAGAGAAAAGCAUAAUCGUGCUACGAUUUACAAUGAAAGUUAAAAUCUUUUAUUUAUCG
rnacentral:tRNA from 1 species